rnacentral:rRNA from 1 species
UGUUUUCCGCGUUGGACCGCAACAAGUCUGUUGGAAUACAGCGGCAUAGUGGUGAGACCCCCGUAUAUGGUGCGGACGCCCAACGCUUUGUGAUACACUUUCGAAGAGUCGAGUUGUUUGGGAAUGCAGCUCAAAUUGGGUGGUAAAUUCCAUCUAAAGCUAAAUAUUGGCGAGAGACCGAUAGCGAACAAGUACCGUGAGGGAAAGAUGAAAAGCACUUUGGAAAGAGAGUUAACAGUACGUGAAAUUGUUGGAAGGGAAACGCUUGAAGUCAGACUUGCUUGCCGAGCAAUCGGUUUGCAGGCCAGCAUCAGUUUUCCGGGGUGGAUAAUGGUAGAGAGAAGGUAGCAGUUUCGGCUGUGUUAUAGCUCUUUGCUGGAUACACCUUGGGGGACUGAGGAACGCAGUGUGCCUUACGGCGGAUUUCUCGAGAUCUUCACACUUAGGAUGCUGGUGGAAUGGCUUUAAACGAC